UACGUAGGGGGCAAGCGUUGUCCGGAUUUAUUGGGCGUAAAGGGUGCGUAGGUGGCGCCAUAAGUCAGGUGUGAAAUCUCGGGGCUCAACCCCGAAACUGCACUUGAUACUGUGGUGCUGGAGUACUGGAGAGGAGAUUGGAAUUUACGGUGUAGCAGUGAAAUGCGUAGAUAUCGUAAGGAAGACCAGUGGCGAAGGCGAAUCUCUGGACAGUUACUGACACUGAGGCACGAAGGCCAGGGGAGCAAACGGG
rnacentral:rRNA from 1 species